AUUGAACGCUGGCGGCAUGCCUUACACAUGCAAGUCGAACGGCAGCACGGAGCUUGCUCUGGUGGCGAGUGGCGAACGGGUGAGUAAUAUAUCGGAACGUACCCUAGAGUGGGGGAUAACGUAGCGAAAGUUACGCUAAUACCGCAUACGAUCUAAGGAUGAAAGUGAGGGAUCGCAAGACCUCAUGCUCGUGGAGCGGCCGAUAUCUGAUUAGCUAGUUGGUAGGGUAAAAGCCUACCAAGGCAUCGAUCAGUAGCUGGCCUGAGAGGACGACAGCCACACUGGAACUGAGACACGGUCCAGACUCCUACGGGAGGCAGCAGUGGGGAAUUUUGGACAAUGGGCGAAAGCCUGAUCCAGCAAUGCCGCGUGAGUGAAGAAGGCCUUCGGGUUGUAAAGCUCUUUUGUCAGGGAAGAAACGGUGGGAGCCAAUAUCUCUUGCUAAUGACGGUACCUGAAGAAUAAGCACCGGCUAACUACGUGCCAGCAGCCGCGGUAAUACGUAGGGUGCAAGCGUUAAUCGGAAUUACUGGGCGUAAAGCGUGCGCAGGCGGUUUUGUAAGUCUGAUGUGAAAUCCCCGGGCUCAACCUGGGAAUUGCAUUGGAGACUGCAAGGCUAGAAUCUGGCAGAGGGGGGUAGAAUUCCACGUGUAGCAGUGAAAUGCGUAGAUAUGUGGAGGAACACCGAUGGCGAAGGCAGCCCCCUGGGUCAAGAUUGACGCUCAUGCACGAAAGCGUGGGGAGCAAACAGGAUUAGAUACCCUGGUAGUCCACGCCCUAAACGAUGUCUACUAGUUGUCGGGUCUUAAUUGACUUGGUAACGCAGCUAACGCGUGAAGUAGACCGCCUGGGGAGUACGGUCGCAAGAUUAAAACUCAAAGGAAUUGACGGGGACCCGCACAAGCGGUGGAUGAUGUGGAUUAAUUCGAUGCAACGCGAAAAACCUUACCUACCCUUGGCAUGGCUGGAAUCCUUGAGAGAUCAGGGAGUGCUCGAAAGAGAACCAGUACACAGGUGCUGCAUGGCUGUCGUCAGCUCGUGUCGUGAGAUGUUGGGUUAAGUCCCGCAACGAGCGCAACCCUUGUCAUUAGUUGCUACGAAAGGGCACUCUAAUGAGACUGCCGGUGACAAACCGGAGGAAGGUGGGGAUGACGUCAAGUCCUCAUGGCCCUUAUGGGUGGGGCUUCACACGUCAUACAAUGGUACAUACAGAGCGCCGCCAACCCGCGAGGGGGAGCUAAUCGCAGAAAGUGUAUCGUAGUCCGGAUUGUAGUCUGCAACUCGACUGCAUGAAGUUGGAAUCGCUAGUAAUCGCGGAUCAGCAUGUCGCGGUGAAUACGUUCCCGGGUCU
rnacentral:rRNA from 1 species